GGGUUAGUCCUAACAGGUAAGGCAGUGGACUUGAAAUCCACCGGCCGCAAGGCCUUGCGGGUUCGAAUCCUGCACCC
rnacentral:tRNA from 1 species